rnacentral:rRNA from 1 species
AUUGAACGCUGGCGGCAGGCCUAACACAUGCAAGUCGAGCGAGCGGCGGACGGGUGAGUAAUGUCUGGGAAACUGCCCGAUGGAGGGGGAUAACUACUGGAAACGGUAGCUAAUACCGCAUACCAUCGGAUUGGCCCAGAUGGGAUUAGCUCGUAGGUGGGGUAAUGGCUCACCUAGGCGACGAUCCAUAGAUGGUCUGAGAGGAUGACCAGCCACCCUGGAACGGAGACACGGUCCAGACUCCUACGGGAGGCACCAGUGGGGAAUAUUGGACAAUGGGCGCAAGCCUAAUGCAGCCAUGCCGCGUGGAUGAAGAAGGCCUUGGGGUUGUAAAGUACUUUCAGCGGGGAGGCGUUACCCACAGAGGAAGCACCGGCUAACUCCGUGCCAGCCGCCGCGGUAAUAC